AAAAAUUAACUGACCUAAAGCUAAAGUGUCAUUUUAAGUCCUAUAACUAGCAGCUCCAGGUGUUCUCUGAUUAGUCUACAACAUGUAAGAGGACUUUUAACUUUUUAAAUGUUUUCCUCCAC